UUGUUUGCAGAUGUAGCAUCAUCAAGAUUCACAUGCAAAUGUACGGUGGUGAUGAUGCUAAACUAAUCUCUCUCUCCUUCUUUCUCAAUCUUUUCUGCGUCUCUCUUCUUCUUUGAAAGUGAGAAUCUUGAUGAUGCUGCAUCGGCAAUAAA
rfam:Jatropha curcas cultivar GZQX0401 scaffold18_80, whole genome shotgun sequence.